rnacentral:RNase_P_RNA from 1 species
AAGAGCGCACCGCGCAACUGGUAACAGAAGUGGCAUGGUAAACCCCACCCGGAGCAAGAUCAAAUAGAGGAACAGACGCGUGGCCCGCGCGGUUCCUGGGUAGAUUGCUUGAGCUGCAGGGUGACUUGCAGCCUAGAUGAAUGGCUGUUCUCGACAGAACCCGGCUUACAGGCUGGCUCUUUCU